rnacentral:pre_miRNA from 1 species
AGCCUUCUGUAUCCGUGCUGAGAUUUCGUCAGAGAUCAACCCGUUGGCACUGGCUGAUGGCACUUCCCAAAUAAGUGAAGCG